UAUAUGGUGAUAUGUAUUUUCUCUUCAUUUUUAACUAUUGAGUUUUUAUAAUUUAUAAUAUGUUACUAACUUUUAUUUGUAGUAAGAAUGGCUCUUAAGCGCCGAACUAAGAGAAAAUCACCAAGUAUAAGUAAAAAUCACACUGAUCAUGAACAAGAUGGUCAAAACAUAGAAGGUACCUUGAAUGACCAAAGAGAUGUAGUUUCAAAUCAACUACAUGUUGAUGUGCAAGGUAAUGUCCCACUUGUUAAAAAGUAGAGGCUAUUGUUGCAUAACAUCCAUAGUGAGGAUAUCCUGCUGUACUAUUGUUGUUAUUGCUAUGUUUGGUAUACCAUCCUUCAUAUUUAU